rnacentral:lncRNA from 1 species
AGAAGGCCUCUACUUUUCAGCACCCAUCCCAUCCAUCUCCUAGAUUCCCUCCCGUGACUUUUCUUCUUCCCAAUCCACCAACACAGCGCCUCUCCUCCUUCCUGACCCAACACUCGCCUCUUUCCACCUCCAAUCAACGACGAGAUCUCCAAGUAGAGAUGGCCGACGAGAAAUCCAUGGAAUCCGCUUGCAGCUGGCUUCGUCCUGCGUAGUAGCCACUCCACCGACGAGACCCACGGCAGCGGGACCAAGGAUAUUGCAAUUUGGGACAGAGCCUGGACGUGCUCUCCGUCGGCAGCGAGG